rnacentral:rRNA from 1 species
GCUAAAAAUCUAGCCCUAUCCUCACAAAUGCCCCCAAAACUAAUAUUACAAACAAAACCAUUUUCUUCAUUUAGUAAAGGCGAUUAAAAAAUUAAUUAGAGCUACAAUAAUAGUACCGCAAGGAAAAGAUGAAAUAAACAUGAAAUAGCCCUUAAGCAUUAUGAAGCAGAGACAUAUCCUCGUACCUUUUGCAUCAUGAUCUAACUAGUUUGAUCAAGCACAAAGAACUUUAGUUUGACCCCCCGAAACUAGGCGAGCUACUUCGAGGCAGCUUAAUGAGCCCACCCAUCUCUGUUGCAAAAGAGUGGGAAGACCCCUAAGUAGCGGUGACAGACCUAACGAGCCUAGUGAUAGCUGGUUACUUAAGAAAAGGAUUUAAGUCCCGCCUAAAGCAUCUUAAAUAUCACUAAACACCUUCCAUGCUUUAGAGCCACUCAAAUGAGGUACAGCCCGUUUGAAACAAGGAUACAACCUACACCAAUGGGUAAUUCUUAUGUACUAAUCUAAAUAAGUGGGCCUAAAAGCAGCCACCUUUAAAAUAGCGUCAAAGCUUCCCUACCCUAUACAUUAAUACCACUAUCCACCAAAAACCCUUCAUUCGUAUUAAGUUAUUCUAUAACCCUAUAGAAGUAUUUAUGUUAGAACUAGUAAUAAGAAGACAGCUCUUCUCUUAGAUGUAAGUGUAAACCAGAAAGGACUAACCGCUGCUAAUUACCCAUCAAUGAACGCAAAACAGCAACCUUACCAGAAAACCCUGUUUUUACUAAUGUUAACCUAACACUAGCACAUCACAAGAAAGAUUUAAAGAAAAAGAAGGAACUCGGCAAAUAUCAACCUCGCCUGUUUACCAAAAACAUCGCCUCUUGACAUAUAUGAGAGGUCCAGCCUGCCCAGUGACUAAGUUCAACGGCCGCGGUAUCCUAACCGUGCGAAGGUAGCGUAAUCACUUGUUCUUUAAAUGAGGACUAGUAUGAAUGGCACCACGAGGGUUGUACUGUCUCCUUUUUUUAAUCAAUGAAACUGAUCCCCCCGUGAAGAAGCGGGGAUAAACAUAUAAGACGAGAAGACCCUAUGGAGCUUUAAACAACUAUAGCACUGGCCCACACUUCUUAUUCUUCUGAGACAUAAUCAUUAUACAGGCCAACAUGACUAUUAGUUUUAGGUUGGGGUGACCGCGGAGCAUAAACUAACCUCCACGUUGAACGGAACUACUCCUGAGCUCAAAGCUACAACUUUAAGCACCAAUAAACUGACAUCAAUUGACCCAACAUGUUGAGCAACGAACCAAGUUACCCUAGGGAUAACAGCGCAAUCCAUUUCAAGAGCCCCUAUCGACAAAUGGGUUUACGACCUCGAUGUUGGAUCAGGGUAUCCCAGUGGUGCAGCCGCUACUAAAGGUUCGUUUGUUCAACGAUUAAAACCCU